GUCACGUGUGCGUCAGUCCUGCUGCGUCCUUGAGUCAUCCUCCACCUUUGACUUUUUUUUUUUUUUUUUUUUUUUGGUUCUUUUUUUUUUUCGGAGCUGGGGACCGAACCCAGGGCCUUGCGCUUCCUAGGUAAGCGCUCUACCACUGAGCUAAAUCCCCAGCCCCCACCUUUGACUUUUACUAUCCUUCUGUCUCCUCUUCUGAGUAGAUUCCUGGGCCUUACGUGGAGGGGUUUAAUGAGCACAACCCAUGAAGAACUGAGUGCUUCAACGUCUUACUUUUCACACGUCAUCCAGUUACGGGUCUCUGCAUAAAAAAAAAAUCCCAUCAACUGCAAGAAGUAGCUUGGCUGAUGAGGGUUGUGCAAGGGAUGGAUCUAUAGGUCUGUGGUGCUGAGGCCUGGACCUGGGCCCUGCGCAUGAGUGUGAGGCAAGACCCCCCCAUCACCUAGCUCACCUAGCUGUGCCAGCCCAGCUCGAUGGUUUCUGCAAGGAACUGCAAAUCUCAGUCGGAAAUCCCAUCCAGUUGGAAUGUUUUUGGUCCUCGUCUUCCCAUUGUAAUUCUACAUCUGCUUUCAUAAAGCUUUGCUUUAUCAAAUCAAAA